UGCCAUAGUGGUAUGUGCUAUUUCUCCUGCUGGACAGACAUCCUGUUGAGGAUUGCCAAGCCAAGGCUCCAGAACUGGCUGCAAAAGACAGUUUACUUGCCCUCCCAGAUACAGCAAAAGGAGAUGCUUGGCAAAUGCUUUGGAGGACCUGAACAGUGAUAUCACACAAGGCUGGCAGCUCUCCCUUGCCUCCAAACGAGGGGAGAGGAGAUGCUGAGACAGACUGUCUAGACAUUUUUCAGAUUGCUCAGUGUUCUCCAUCAAGGCCUGGACCAUCUCCCAGAGAUUCCUGCACACAGGGGACUCUGUUCACAGGGAUUUCAACCAGCCUAUGCAAAUGCAUCUAUAGUACAAUCACAUCAUCUUCCCAAAUAUUCUGGAGGUGUCGUUCCCCAAGCCCUCUCCACAGAAGGGCAUUGCUGUGCUUGAGGAAGGAACAGAGGACAAGGAGUCCUCCUGAACAGUGACCCUGGUCUCCAGACAGGACAAAAGUGGUCUAAAGCUGCUUGGACCUAGGGGAAAAGCAGGUGCGUGGAAUUGCAGGGACUCUAUCAAAAGCCAACUGUAACAAGGAUAAGGAAGACUGGUUCAGUUAUCCCCAUUUUCAAAGACAGCACAGUGACAGAGGGCAGGAAUAACCUUGGAAGCUCUUUUGUCCUUGGGAAGUGCAGGUUUGGAAGAUGUGAACCAAAAAAUGCACACAAUUAAAGACCACAUUUCCAGCUGACCUGAUUCACGUCCGCAAUUCAUGUGUACGCAAAUAACUAUUUGUGCAGCCAGUAUAUUUGAACUUCAAAAUUGUAGUUUAUGGCAGAAAAGGAGGGAGGAAUUAUAUAAUGAAAACAAAAUGCUAAAGAGAUGCAUGAAUUUUUGAACCAAUAUAAAAAAUGAGAACUGAAAAACAAGUCCAGUGUUGGAAGAUCUAGGUUGAGUAUUUCAGCAUUCAACACUUUCAUCCUGCUUUUAUUUUCACCUGUAAAACAUAUCAGAAAUUCUUCCUGAAUCACGAAGGUUUUGUUAAAUAAACACGGUAGCCCAAAAUUCUGCUUUCCCUGAUUAUUUGUGUUUGUGUUUUGUCUUUGUGUUUAUUUUCAUACUCUUAGGUGAUCGGUUUGUUUCAUACGUCACUGCAUUCCCCUCUAUUGUUCCUUAGGGUGACUUAAUCUU